GUGCCAGCAGCUGCGGUAAUACAGAGGUGGCAAGCGUUGUUCGGAAUUACUGGGCGUAAAGGGCGCGUAGGCGGCCCGCUAAGUCCCGUGUGAAAUCCCUCGGCUCAACUGAGGAACUGCACGGGAAACUGACGGGCUUGAGUUCGGGAGAGGGAAGUGGAAUUCCGGGUGUAGCGGUGAAAUGCGUAGAUAUCCGGAGGAACACCGGUGGCGAAGGCGGCUUCCUGGACCGACACUGACGCUGAGGCGCGAAAGCUAGGGGAGCAAACGGGAUUAGAUACCCCGGUAGUCCUAGCUGUAAACGAUGAGCGCUGGGUGAAGGGGGUAUGAACCCCCCCUGUGCCGAAGCUAACGCAUUAAGCGCUCCGCCUGGGGAGUACGGUCGCAAGGCUGAAACUCAAAUGAAUUGACGG
rnacentral:rRNA from 1 species